rnacentral:rRNA from 1 species
UACGAAGGGGGCUAGCGUUGUUCGGAUUUACUGGGCGUAAAGCGCACGUAGGCGGCUUCUUAAGUCAGGGGUGAAAUCCUGGAGCUCAACUCCAGAACUGCCUUUGAUACUGGGAGGCUCGAGUCCGGGAGAGGUGAGUGGAACUGCGAGUGUAGAGGUGAAAUUCGUAGAUAUUCGCAAGAACACCAGUGGCGAAGGCGGCUCACUGGCCCGGUACUGACGCUGAGGUGCGAAAGCGUGGGGAGCAAACAGG